rnacentral:lncRNA from 1 species
UUUCAGGAGAGUCACAUUCUACAACUGCAUAGAAGUACUUCAGUCGCUUAAACUGAUACUCCCUCAGUUUUUCCUUAUAAAGCUCGUCUUUCUCUGUGGUAUUCUCUGGAAGAUCAAAUAGUUCUCUAGGUCCUUGUUGCUCUUCUUCUUUCAAUCUUUCUUUUCCAAACUCUGAGGGAUAAAUCUUAACAGAAAAUAUAGUUCCUCCUUUGGGUAUGAAAGAAUUAAAUAAAGCCAGCAAGUCCUUAGCUUUAAGUCUAUCCCAGUCCAUAUUACAAACUGCCAAUCUGCUUGUAAUCUCAUCUCCACGAGGGGCAUCUUUAUCUAGUUCACCCCAUGAAUGCUCAAUCUCUGGCUCCCUUGGAAAUAGAUCAUCUAAGUCGUCAUCAUCCUCUGAGCUUGUUUCAAUGUUCCCUAUACCUCUAGCCAGAUCAGGCUCUAUAUCACUUUCUUCAUCUUCUUCUGAAUCACCGCCUUCUUCAUCUGUUUCCUCACUGUCUUCUGACUCCUCGUCGUUGCCUGUUUCCCCAUCGUCUUCCAACUCCUCUUCUUCUGAUUGUGUAUACUCUGAGCUCUCCCUUAGAGAUUUUUUUUCCUCUACUUGGCUUUCACUGAUGUCACUUUCAGCACCGCUGUCUCUGCAAGCAGUCACUGAUUCUUGUGUUUUUCCUCGUAUGGAACAGUCCCUCUUUGGAGCUUUAACUGUAUUAGCACCACUUGGCUUUGAAGUCUUCUGCUUGUUUUGAACUGAAACCGACCUUCCUUUUGAUUCACCUCCUUCCUCCUUUUCCCUAUCACAUAAAAGGUCCUUGUUUUUCUGAGAGUCAUCCAUUUCUAUUCUGGUUUUCUUGGAGUCCUCUUUCAAUUUGAAUCUAGAUGCAACUUUCUGCCCUUCAUUCUGAAGGUCAUCUAGUUUUGUCACCGCUUCACAUGCUUGGUCCACCCCUUGUUUUUUCAUUUUACCCUCUUCCCGAGGAAGUGGUUUUACAGAAUCCCCUUCUUCCUUAGGCUUAGCUUUUUUCUUCUUUUUUUUCCUUUCUGCACGUACCUCGCUACCAUCUUCUGAAAGUUCAGAGUCAGACUCUGACAAGGCAUAGAAUUUCCUGAGGUUCUCUACAGAGGUAUAGUUAACAGGUCGACCUCUUUUAUCCACCGUGCACUUCAUCUUGAACCUUUUGUCAUGAAACAUUGCUCGAAAGCGUUUGUCAAUCUUGACUUUCCGGUCUUUUUCUGGCAUCUCCCAAAACCGGGGAUCCCG